rnacentral:rRNA from 1 species
UCAGGAUGAACGCUGGCGGCGUGACUUAACACAUGCAAGUCGAACGAAGCACUUUAUUACGAUUUCUUCGGAAUGACGAUUUAGUGACUGAGUGGCGGACGGGUGAGUAACGCGUGGGUAACCUGCCUUAUACAGGGGGAUAACAGUUAGAAAUGACUGCUAAUACCGCAUAAGCGCACAGGAUUGCAUGAUCUGGUGUGAAAAACUCCGGUGGUAUAAGAUGGACCCGCGUCUGAUUAGCUGGUUGGUGAGGUAACGGCCCACCAAGGCGACGAUCAGUAGCCGACCUGAGAGGGUGACCGGCCACAUUGGGACUGAGACACGGCCCAAACUCCUACGGGAGGCAGCAGUGGGGAAUAUUGCACAAUGGGGGAAACCCUGAUGCAGCGACGCCGCGUGAGCGAAGAAGUAUUUCGGUAUGUAAAGCUCUAUCAGCAGGGAAGAAAAAAAUGACGGUACCUGACUAAGAAGCCCCGGCUAACUACGUG